GGCGAGCUGGUUAGAGCGAACGACUCAUAAUCGUUAGGUCCCCGGUUCAAGUCCGGGCAUCGCCA
rnacentral:tRNA from 1 species